rnacentral:rRNA from 1 species
AUUGAACGCUGGCGGCAGGCCUAACACAUGCAAGUCGAACGAGUGGCGGACGGGUGAGUAAUGUCUGGGAAACUGCCUGAUGGAGGGGGAUAACUACUGGAAACGGUGGCUAAUACCGCAUACCAUCGGAUGAGCCCAGAUGGGAUUAGCUAGUUGGUGGGGUAACGGUUCACCAAGGCGACGAUCCCUAGCUGGUCUGAGAGGAUGACCAGCCACAUUGGGACGGAGACACGGCCCAGACGCCUACGGGAGGCAGCAGUGGGGAAUAUUGCACAAUGGGCGCAAGCCUGAGGCAGCCAUGCCGCGUGUAUGAAGAAGGCCUUCGGGUUGUAAAGUACUUUCAGCGGGGAGGCGUUACCCGCAGAAGAAGCACCGGCUAACUCCGUGCCAGCAGCCGCGGUAAUAC